UGGGGAAUCGUGGGCAAUGGGCGCAAGCCUGACCCCGCAAUGCCGCGUGAGGGAAGAAGCCCUUCGGGGUGUAAACCUCUGUCAGAUGGGAAGAUGGGACUAGGGGCUAAUACCUCCUGGUCUUGACGGUACCAUCAGAGGAAGGGACGGCUAACUACGUGCCAGCAGCCGCGGUAAUACGUAGGUCCCGAGCGUUGCGCGAUGUUACUGGGCGUAAAGCGUCCGUAGCUGGUUUCGUAAGCGGAUUGUCAAAACCCGAAGCUCAACUUCGGCAAGGCAUUCCGAACUGCGUUACUUGAGUCCUGUUCAGGUAGGCGGAAUUCCCGGUGUAGCGGUGAAAUGCGUAGAUAUCGGGAGGAACACCAGUGGCGAAGGCGGCCUACUGGGACGGUACUGACGGUCAUGGACGAAAGCUGGGGGAGCAAACCGGAUUAGAUACCCGGGUAGUCCCAGCCGUAAACGAUGGAUGUUAGGUGUAGUGAUAACUUCGCUGCACCCCAGCUAACGCGUUAAACAUCCCGCCUGGGGAGUACGGGCGCAAGCCUGAAACUCAAAGGAAUUGACGGGGGCCCGCACAAGCGGCGGAGCAUGCGGCUUAAUUCGAUGCAACGCGAAGAACCUCACCUGGGCUUGACAUGGAGGGAGAAGCCGUAGAGAUACGGUGUCCUUCGGGGCCCUCCACAGGUGGUGCAUGGCUGUCGUCAGCUCGUGUUGUGAGAUGUUGGGUUAAGUCCCGCAACGAGCGCAACCCUUGUCCUUAUUUGCUUCCUCGUAUGAGGUGCUCUAUAAGGAGACUGCCGGCGACAAGCCGGAGGAAGGAGGGGAGGACGUCAGGUCAGUAUGCCCUUUAUGCUUUGGGCUACACAGGCGCUACAGUGGCAAGGACAAUGAGUAGCAAGAGCGCAAGCUCAAGCUAAUCUCACAAACCUUGUCGUGGUGGGAAUUGAAGGUUGAAACUCACCUUCAUGAAGCCGGAAUCGGUAGUAAUGGCGUAUCAGCUAUGUCGCCGUGAAUACAUUCCCGGGCCUU
rnacentral:rRNA from 1 species